ACAAUGCUGCGGGAGGGCUCAUUUUGAGAGCAGACCUUUGGGGGAGUUAGAGGGAUGUGUUCAGCACGGGACAUCCUUCCUCCAUGAAGCGAGAGAGGAGAGUAGGAUUGAGAACAGAAGAGUCCAAAGGGACAGGGUAGCAGAAGGAAGUAAGUCCUUGUCGAUUCCUGGGUGCCUUCUUUACCAGGACCUUUCCCCAAGGAGAGAUGGGAUCACAGUGGACACCUGCUGCCCUCCUGAAGCUUUCAGUCUAGUGAGCCGGCUAACAUUGACUUAUCAAGCAUCUUCUUUCGGUCAAGCACUUUACACGUUUUCUGAUUGAGAGAAGCAGGCCCGGAGACAGGGAUUCCACGUGUUUAGUCAGGAGGUAGCCCCGGGAAGCGGCAAGAGGUGAGGAGGUGAGACGAGGCAGCGAGAGAAGACCAAACUGCAGUAAUGCCAGGUGGCCCUGGUGGGUACCUGGGAGGCUUCAAUCCUGCCUGGUGCUCCAGAAGCUAUCGGAGGGAGGGAAUUUUUAAUUCAUAGAGAUACACACACACAGAGAGAGAGAGAGAGAGAGAGAGGCAGAGACACAGGCAGAGGGAGAAGCAGGCUCCAUGCAGGGAAGCCCGACGCGGGACUCCAUCCCAGGUCUCCAGGAUCACACCCCGGGCUGCAGGCGGCACUAAACCUCUACGCCACCAGGGCUGCCCAGAGGGAGGGAAUCUUACCAGUCUUCGUAACCCCUACCACCAGGGAAGAGCCCGGUACAGAGAAGGCUUCAAAUACACGUCUGUUGAAUGAUGAUAAAAUUUAAACAUGCUGAGCGAUGCAGGAGGAUGGAGGAUCCAGUAUGACAGGCUAUGGAAAGAUAAAAACCUGCCUGCAGCCUCUCCCUUGCCCCUCCCUCCUCCCCUAGAGAGAUGAAAAUCCAAAAUUACAUAAAAAAUAAAUCAGAAAGUGAUUCUAAUCUUUA